GAAUCUGCUUAAAUAUCACGUCGUAUAUAGAUUCGUAAUAUUAUACUUGUAUGCUGAUAAUUCGGGUGCAAUUCAGCCGAAUUUGUAUAUUCAGCCGAAAAUCAAGAGUAGCGCUACCGCGUUGCCAGCACGUCGCUCUUGGCGAUGUUGAUUGUGCGAGAAAUAAAUGAUAAUCAAAUGCAAAAUUGUUACAUGAGUACCAUAAAAAAAAUAAUGAGAAAAGAGAGGAAAAGAAAAUUAGAGAGGUAGCUAGAAAUGACGACGGAUCGCAAGGAAUUCGCAUUUCCGAGAUACCUUAGCCGUCCAAUGUUUGCAAUUAUGAUGAGACAAUUAUACAGUAUUUAAAUUUUUCUAGUUUACUAGAAUA